AGAAGUUGUCCAGGGCUCCCUGAGGGAGGCCAGCACAAGAGCUCUGCCAUAAAAGGACAUUGGACAGAAGUGAAGAGUCCAAUCAGAAACUCUUUUUGAGAGACUGAACGCAAAGCAUUCAGAGAGUCAGCAGGCUGGAGAGGCCAAGACACACACACGAAGAAGGCAGGACACUCUUCUCCUCCUGCGGUUGGACUCCAGGCUCUAUGACCUUCAAACUCCAGGACUUACACCAGUUGCCCCUGGGCACUCAGGACUUCUGCUUCAGACUGACAGUUGCAGGACAGUGCAGCAUUUUAUUUUAAAGAUACCCCACAACGUAGGUGGCCAGUCCUGCUGCAGGGCAGAUACGCUCCCUUGAUUCUGAGGUCUUUGAACUUGCUGUGAAGCCACACUACCUGCGUCCCAGGGUCUCCAGCUUGCAGAUGGACUGUGGUGGGACUUCUCAGUCACCAAGAUUGAGAGCUGUACUAGCCUGGCAUGCAGACAGCAGCUUUAGAAUCAGAUCUGCCUUCUGGCGGCUUCCCACCUAGGAGCCAUGGGACCUUUGUGAAGUCACCAAUUGUGCUGUGGAUGCUUCAUUUGUGAAGGAGAACAGGACUGCCUUGUGAAAUUACGGAUGGUGCUACUAAAACAUAUCAAUAAUUUGAAUUUCACUUUUGUGGAUGCUUUAAACAUCAUAGUCAUUAGAAGGUGGAUCUGGCUGAUUGUACUUUAAGUUUUCAGUUUGAGCUGGAGCUUUGUAUUAUAACAGGAGGGUACUGGACAAGAUGAGGAAACUGAGGUACAGAUGGGAAACUUGCUCAAGUUCACACAGCAAUUAAGUGAUCAAGUCCAAGAGCAAAACCAGGCAGGCUGGCUCCAGAGCUCACGAUAGUCCACCACUGCUUUCCACCAUCACUACGGAAUCAAGUCCAUGAGGAUACUCACCUUAUGUCAGUUGCCUAAGUUGGAAAUUAUAGAAUCUUCAAAUUGGAAGGGACGUUAUCAUCCAAGAUUUCAACUUUCUACUCACUGCAAAAUCCCUUCUGGAACUUCCCAGAUUGAUGAAUUUUCAUCAGCUCUGCUUGAGUACUCCCAGUGACUUGGAAAAAAAACACUGUAAUAUGGAUAUGAAAUAUAAACUGUUCAUGGAUAAAUUAUUGCAUAAUAAAAACAUGCCUAAUGGCUACACUCCCCUAAAAAAAAAAAAAAAAAAAA
rnacentral:lncRNA from 1 species